GCAUUGGGACGAGGACGCCGCUUUAGCAACAGAUAUCAUUUAUGAUGUAAAUAGGGAUGCAGCUGCUGCCAUGGACCGCGUCCGGCAAGGGCAUCACCUAAGUGCGUCGGAUGUUGCGAGCUUCAUUAGACGGGUUUUCGAUAAGACGACGCGCGCCCUGAAACUCACCUCCUGCCGAUCUACCACAGAUGCAGCAGGGCCGCCUCCCAGGACGAGUGGUGCACACGCCGAGUCGUCUCGGCCGUCAGACGUGCACCGACGUUCUUCAGUGUCGGCACCCACACGACCCCUCCUAUCACGUCUUGGAGGGUCCGAGCAACAUGGUCCGUCUGCACAAGUCUCGAUGCAGCCUCGCAGAUUGAGCCCUGUACGUCCACAGUCAG